CCCUCGAUAGCUCAGUUGUAGAUGUUACAACGGUGAUCCUUAGGUCGCUGGUUCAAAUCCGGCUCGAGGGA